rnacentral:rRNA from 1 species
AAAUGACUCUCGGCAACGGAUAUCUCGGCUCUC